GUGGGGAAUUUUGCGCAAUGGGGGAAACCCUGACGCAGCAACGCCGCGUGAGUGAUGAAGGCCUUCGGGUCGUAAAGCUCUGUCAGAGGGGAAGAAAUGCAGGGGUGCUAAUAUCAUCUUUGCUUGACGGUACCCUCAAAGGAAGCACCGGCCAACUACGUGCCAGCAGCCGCGGUAAUACGUAGGGGGCGAGCGUUAUCCGGAUUUAUUGGGCGUAAAGCGUGUGUAGGCGGUUUAUUAAGUCAGGCGUAAAAGAUCACAGCUCAACUGUGUAGGGCGUUUGAAACUGGUAGACUUGAAUACGGUAGAGGCAGGUGGAAUUCCAUGUGUAGCGGUGGAAUGCGUAGAUAUAUGGAGGAACACCAAUGGCGAAGGCAACCUGCUGGGCCGGAAUUGACGCUGAGACACGAAAGCGUGGGGAGCAAACAGGAUUAGAUACCCUUGUAGUCC
rnacentral:rRNA from 1 species